AUUGAACGCUGGCGGUAGGCCUAACACAUGCAAGUCGAACGGCAGCACAGUAAGAGCUUGCUCUUACGGGUGGCGAGUGGCGGACGGGUGAGGAAUACAUCGGAAUCUACUUUUUCGUGGGGGAUAACGUAGGGAAACUUACGCUAAUACCUCAUACUUCCUACGGGUGAAAGCAGGGGAUCUUCGGACCUUGCUCGAUUGAAUGAGCCGAUGUCGGAUUAGCUAGUUGGAGGGGUAAAGGCCCACCAAGGCGACGAUCCGUAGCUGGUCUGAGAGGAUGAUCAGCCACACUGGAACUGAGACACGGUCCAGACUCCUACGGGAGGCAGCAGUGGGGAAUAUUGGACAAUGGGCGCAAGCCUGAUCCAGCAAUACCGCGUGGGUGAAGAAGGCCUUCGGGUUGUAAAGCCCUUUUGUUGGGAAAGAAAAGCAGCAGGUUAAUACCCCGCUGUGCUGACGGUACCCAAAGAAUAAGCACCGGCUAACUUCGUG
rnacentral:rRNA from 1 species